rnacentral:misc_RNA from 1 species
AAAAUGCGAUAAGUAAUGUGAAUUGCAGAAUUCAGUGAAUCAUCGAAUCUUUGAACGCACAUUGCGCCCGCCAGUAUUCUGGCGGGCAUGCCUGUUCGAGCGUCAUUUCAACCCUCAAGCCCCCGGGUUUGGUGUUGGGGAUCUGGCUGUACUCCAGCCCGGCCCCGAAAUCUAGUGGCGGUCUCGCUGCAGCCUCCAUUGCGUAGUAGCUAACACCUCGCAACUGGAACGCGGCGCGGCCAAGCCGUUAAACCCCCAACUUCUGAAUGUUGACCUCGGAUCAGGUAGGAAUACCCGCUGAACUUAAGC